rnacentral:rRNA from 1 species
AAUCAACGCUGGCGGCGUGCCUAACACAUGCAAGUCGAACGAGAAAGUGGAGCAAUCCAUGAGUAAAGUGGCGCACGGGUGAGUAACACGUGACUAACCUACCCUUGAGUGGGGGAUAACCUCGGGAAAACCGGGGCUAAUACCGCAUAAUAUCGAGAGAUCAAAGGAGCAAUUCGCUUAAAGGAGGGGGUCNCGGCUGAUUUAGCUAGGUUGGUGAGGUAAUGGCUCACCAAGGCAUGAUCAGUAUCCGGCCUGAGAGGGCGCACGGACACACUGGAACUGAAACACGGUCCAGACUCUACGGGAGGCAGCAGUGGGGAAUAUUGCGCAAUGGCGAAAGCCUGACGCAGCGACGCCGCGUGAGGGAUGACGGCCU